UACGGAGGGGGCUAGCGUUGUUCGGAAUUACUGGGCGUAAAGCGCGCGUAGGCGGACCUGCAAGUCGGGGGUGAAAGCCCGAGGCUCAACCUCGGAACUGCCUUCGAUACUGCGGGUCUCGAGUCCGGAGAGGUGAGUGGAAUUCCUAGUGUAAAGGUGAAAUUCGUAGAUAUUAGGAAGAACACCAGUGGCGAAGGCGGCUCACUGGCCGGUACUGACGCUGAGGCGCGAAAGCGUGGGGAGCAAACAGG
rnacentral:rRNA from 1 species